rnacentral:rRNA from 1 species
UACGAAGGGGGCUAGCGUUGCUCGGAAUCACUGGGCGUAAAGCGCACGUAGGCGGCUUUCUAAGUCAGGGGUGAAAUCCUGGAGCUCAACUCCAGAACUGCCUUUGAUACUGGAGAGCUUGAGUCCGGAAGAGGUGAGUGGAACUCCGAGUGUAGAGGUGAAAUUCGUAGAUAUUCGGAAGAACACCAGUGGCGAAGGCGGCUCACUGGUCCGGUACUGACGCUGCGGUGCGAAAGCGUGGGGAGCAAACAGG